UACGUAGGGUGCAAGCGUUGUCCGGAAUUAUUGGGCGUAAAGAGCUCGUAGGCGGUCUGUCACGUCGGCUGUGAAAACCUGGGGCUCAACCCCGGGCCUGCAGCCGAUACGGGCAGACUAGAGUGUGGUAGGGGAGACUGGAAUUCCUGGUGUAGCGGUGGAAUGCGCAGAUAUCAGGAGGAACACCGAUGGCGAAGGCAGGUCUCUGGGCCAUUACUGACACUGAGGAGCGAAAGCGUGGGGAGCGAACAGG
rnacentral:rRNA from 1 species